rnacentral:tRNA from 1 species
UUAAUUGAAACCAAAAAGAGGUAAAUUAUUGUUAAUAAUUUAAAUGAUUAAUUUUCCAAUUAAA